rnacentral:pre_miRNA from 1 species
GCUUGACGAUGCUGCUGAUGCUGGCGGUGACACCGAUGACGUGAGCUGGAGACACGGUGCUACGUCAUCGUUGUCAUCGUCAUCAUCACCACCCGAG